GCUAAUACCGCAUACGUCCUACGGGAGAAAGCAGGGGACCUUCGGGCCUUGCGCUAUCAGAUGAGCCUAGGUCGGAUUAGCUAGUUGGUGGGGUAAUGGCUCACCAAGGCGACGAUCCGUAACUGGUCUGAGAGGAUGAUCAGUCACACUGGAACUGAGACACGGUCCAGANUCNUACGGGAGGCANCAGUGGGGAAUAUUGGACAAUGGGCGAAAGCCUGAUCCANNCAUGCCGCGNGUGUGAAGAAGGUNUUCGGNUUGUAAAG
rnacentral:rRNA from 1 species